CAUGCUGUGUGAAUGAGACAUUCUGCACAAUGUCUGCAGGAGAGACACUUGAGGGCCAUCAGGUUUUCCCUUAUAUGCAGACAGCAGGAACCCAACUGGUUUGCAAACUUCCCCUCUUGACCCGCAGUCUGUGUCUUCUGGGAACUAUAGAAUAUUCUUACUGGCUCACUCAUCUCAGAGGAAUUUGGCAAGGUGUAUUACAAAAGUCACCCACUAAAUUACUUCUAACACAUUGAGGCUGCUAAAUCAAAAACAAAACACCAUUGUUCUGUCACUUUCACAACAGCAGCAGUUGGAACAAAGCACUUUACAGAACACGAGAUAAAACAUGAACAAUUGCGUAUAUAAGCAUAAACCAAUAUUUUUUUAAAAAUUCUCCAUUCUAUAUCCACAGAUGAUAAUAGGUGAAAGAGGAGCGAUUAAAAGUCUCCUUUCACAAAGAUCACAGCAGUGUGACGAGAAGCCGAUUACCAGUAUGCCAAAGAUGGACAACUCUUUGGAUGCACACAUCCACGCGAGCAGCGAUUUUCCACAUUGAGCAAUGUUAAAAACAAACACCGCUCACGCAUCACAGGCGGCAGUUUUGAGUCGGCCCUGCAUAAAGAUGAAGGCGAGUUCCUACAGCCCUGAUUUGCAGAUGCUGUGCACAGACGUUCAGGAGCAAAAGCCCCAUUAACCAGGUGAAAGAAAUAAUCGGGCAGUUAAUUUGCAAAUAUUUAUUUCAUUGUUCAGUGAAAUUGUUCUCUUAUUUUUCCACUGUAUUUUUACAUUUAGGUCAAGGUUCCGCUGCACCCCCCAAAGCCAAAAGAAUGGAUGGCUCACGCUAUUUUUGUUUGCUUGAAGUUCAGCUUUUUGAAUCAUUUGAAAGAUACUUUUAACUCUGCAAUUUGUAUAUAUUUUUUUGUUAAGAGUUCAAAAUGUGCUCAUUUUUACGGUGCGCUCGAUUUGCUUAACAAUCCAGUGUAUUUUACAAUCUGAAUGUAUUUUUAUCUACAUUCAGAAGAUAUGAUCUGAUCCCUAGCUAAAGAUAUCGGAGCCAUGAGUUUGUUUCUACUUCCGCUGACAUGACGCAUAUCCAAAUUGUGCUACUUAAAGUAAAAAACAUUGAAUUGCCCCUUGAACCAUGACACAAUUCCAUAUCAUUGACAGUAGAAACAAUCUGUUGAUUGACCAAUCGGUAAUUACACACAUCUCGAGGCCAGAAUUGGGCAACUUUGGUGGAGGGCUGAGUGUCAAGUUACGCAUCUUCGGUUUUGCUGAGGUUGCAUGGUGCAACUGUCACAUUCAUGAGAGGCUUUUCUUUGUCCCGUCUUGUUUCCUCUCUGUGACUCUCCGUAUUACAUUCAGUCAUCAAAACUUCCCUUAUGGUGGGAACCAGACAUUUUCCAAAAAAAACAUGCUAGAGCACUGCCCGUUUCCAUUUCUGUCAUUUGUGGGGAAAUCCUCUCUUUCUGACAGUCCCCCGCACCCCCAACUUCACUCACUAGAUUUGGGGAUUUCUGUAUCGUUUCAAGUACGUGGGGCAGCCAUUUGGGAAAUCACAGACAAAGUAAAAGGACAGAGUGACCGUGAUGUACCACAUGAGUCGAAUGUGACACGAGUAGAAUGUGGCGUCAUCAUACGUCUGACGUGAAGUCACAUUUGAUGACUGCUUUUUCUUCACUGGAAUUUUUCUUUCAAGCGUUUCAUGCUGUUUGAGAUUUUUUUUUCCCACAGCACCCUAACAAAUGAAUGAGUGUUUGUUAGAGUUAUGGACUGCAAAGCUAUUGAUUUCGCAAUCAUAUUGGAUUUUUCCAGAAGAGUAUAUAACUUUCCAAAGAGACUAAUUAAGAUAUCCUUUACUUGUCCCACACUGGGGAACCUUACAGCAGCAAGAUUGUAGGUAGAAAGAAGAAAUAAGAAAAACAGUGUUUGCAUUCACAAAUCCAGUUAAUCUUUGCUGCUCUCUGCAAAGUACGGCAGGACUUCCAGGAAGAAAUUUGGGUAAACGUUUAAUUGCACUUGACAUUUUUUAUGUCUAUUGUGUUGCGGUUGGUGAAGAAUAAUGAGAAUGCUUUACAAUAAUGUGACCCAACAUAUAAAACGUAUUAAAAGACAUUUUCACUGA